ACUCGGGGACGACCCUGAGCUGCAUUUUUUAUUCGGGACGACCCG
rnacentral:ncRNA from 1 species